GACGUAGGGCGCGAGCGUUAAUCGGAAUUACUGGGCGUAAAGCGUGCGCAGGCGGUUUUGUAAGCCAGAUGUGAAAUCCCCGGGCUUAACCUGGGAAUGGCAUUUGGGACUGCAAGGCUCGAGUGCGGCAGAGGAGACUGGAAUUCCUGGUGUAGCAGUGAAAUGCGUAGAUAUCAGGAGGAACACCGAUGGCGAAGGCAGGUCUCUGGGCUGACACUGACGCUCAUGCACGAAAGCGUGGGGAGCAAACAGG
rnacentral:rRNA from 1 species